rnacentral:snRNA from 1 species
GAUCUCUUUGGACAUCCGAUAAAUUUGGAACGAUGCAGAGAAGACUAGCAUGGUCCCUGCGCAUGGAUGACACGCACAAAUCGAGAAAUGGUCUAAAUUUUU